AACCUUACCACGGCUUGACAUGGUUGGUGGUAGGGAUCCGAAAGGUGACCGACCUUCGGGGAGCCUUCACAGGUGCUGCAUGGCUGUCGUCAGCUCGUGUCGUGAGAUGUCCGGUUAAGUCCGGUAACGAGCGCAACCCUCGCUGUGUGUUAUAUGUGUCACACGGGACUGCCGGUAUCAAGCCGGAGGAAGUGGGAUGACGUCAAGUCAGCAUGGCCUUUAUGUCUGGGGCUACACACACGCUACAAUGGCCAGUACAAUAGGUUGCAAGACCGCGAGGUGGAGCCAAUCCUUAAAGCUGGUCUCAGUUCGGAUUGCAGGCUGCAACUCGCCUGCAUGAAGUCGGAGUUGCUAGUAACCGCGCGUCAGCCAUAGUGCGGUGAAUACGUUCCCGGGCCUU
rnacentral:rRNA from 1 species